AAACAGCUUGACCUGAUUACGAAUUCGAGCUCGGUACCCGGGGAUCCUCUAGAGAUUAUUCUGGUUGAUCCUGCCGGACCUGACUGCUAUCGGAUUGGUACUAAGCCAUGCGAGUCAUUGUAGCAAUACAAGGCGGACGGCUCAGUAACACGUAGUCAACCUAACUCGUGGACGUGGAUAACCUCGGGAAACUGAGAAUAAACCACGAUAGAUCAUAGUGCCUGGAAUGGCUUAUGGUCCAAACAGUUUACUGCCAUGGGAUGGGACUGCGGCCUAUCAGCUUGUUGGUGAGGUAAUGGCCCACCAAGGCGAUUACAGGUACGGGCUCUGAGAGGAGAAGCCCGGAGAUGGGUACUGAGACACGGACCCAGGCCCUAUGGGGCGCAGCAGGCGAGAAACCUUACAAUGUGCGAAAGCACGACUGGGUCAGUCCGAGUGAUUCCUGAUAAAGGAGUCUUUUGCUUGCCUAAAAGCACAGG
rnacentral:rRNA from 1 species